rnacentral:lncRNA from 1 species
ACAGCCAAAAGGAGCGGAAACGAGCAGAAAUCUGGAAAGGCGGAAGGCUGGCACGGAAACCGAGGAAGUCGGGAGCUGAAACGAAGAAAAAUUACAGUUCUGGAGCUCCCAGGCGGGCCGCUUAGACUUAACAGGCAUCCUCACGCGCCCCGCAUGGACUUAAAGGAGAAAUAGAGGAAUAACUAUCUCUCGCGCCCCGCGUGAACAUAAUCAGAGAUCUUAGGCGGGCCGCGAGAGACUUGUUGUGACAACCCGGACUUUUAAGGGUAGUAUUGCUUAACUUCGUACUUCUGAUGUCUCAUUAUUUCUCGUUCACAUUCUGGUUAUAUUAAAUGUGUUGUCAUACAUUGUACGAUAAACUUGUCAAGGGUAGCGUACUUGGGUCAACUUGGAUGUUUAGCGAGUUUAGGAACCGUUCUUGUUUUGGGCCACCCAACUCAUCUUUUAUCGUUAGUUUCAUUGAAACCCCAAAGGGGUAAUUAAUAUAAAUAUGGGAUCGGCCCAUAUGGUUUGAC